rnacentral:rRNA from 2 species
UUGGAGGGCAAGUCUGGUGCCAGCAGCCGCGGUAAUUCCAGCUCCAAUAGCGUAUAUUAAAGUUGUUGCAGUUAAAAAGCUCGUAGUUGAAUUUCGGGAUCAAUGUUUCGGUCAUGCCGUUGGUAUGUACUGAUAUUAUUGGUUUCUCACCUUCUAAAGAACCGUAAUGCCAUUAAUUUGGUGUCACGGGGAAUUAGGACUGUUACCUUGAAAAAAUUAGAGUGUUUAAAGCAGGCUCACGCUUGAAUACAUUAGCAUGGAAUAAUGAAAUAGGACAUCCGAUUCUAUUUUGUUGGUUUCUAGGAUCGAUGUAAUGAUUAAUAGGGAUAGUUGGGGGCAUUAGUAUUCAAUUGUCAGAGGUGAAAUUCUUGGAUUUAUUGAAGACUAACUACUGCGAAAGCAUUUGCCAAGGAUGUUUUCAUUAAUCAAGAACGAAAGUUAGGGGAUCGAAGACGAUCAGAUACCGUCGUAGUCUUAACCAUAAACUAUGCCGACUAGGGAUCGGAUGAUGUUGAUUUUUUAAUGACUCAUUCGGCGCCUUACGGGAAAC